rnacentral:rRNA from 1 species
CGGAGCGUGUGGUUUAAUUCGUUGCUACACGAAGAACCUUUACCUGGGUUUGACAUAUAGGUUGUAGGGAACUGAAAAGGGACCGACCCUUCGGGGAGCCUAUACAGGUGUUGCAUGGCUGUCGUCAGCUCGUGUCGUGAGAUGUUCGGUUAAGUCCCGCUAACGAGCGCAACCCUCGUCGUAUGUUAUAUGUGUCAUACGAGACUGCCGGUAAAAAGCCGGAGGAAGGUGAGGAUGAUGUCAAGUCAGCAUGACCUUUAUAUCCAGGGCUACACACACGCUACAAUGGUCUGUACAAUGGGUAGCCAAGCCGCGAGGCGGAGCCAAUCCUGAAAGCAGGCCUCAGUUCGGAUUGGAGUCUGCAACUCGACUCCAUGAAGUUGGAAUCGCUAGUAAUCGCAGAUCAGCACGCUGCGGUCGAAUACGUUCCCGGGCCUU